rnacentral:rRNA from 1 species
UUGUUGGUAAGGUAAAAGCUUACCAAGGCUUCGAUCAGUAGCUGGUCUGAGAGGACGACCAGCCACACUGGGACUGAGACACGGCCCAGACUCCUACGGGAGGCAGCAGUGGGGAAUUUUGGACAAUGGGGGCAACCCUGAUCCAGCCAUGCCGCGUGAGUGAAGAAGGCCUUCGGGUUGUAAAGCUCUUUCAGCCGGAACGAAACGGUUACGGAUAAUACCCGUGACUACUGACGGUACCGGAAGAAGAAGCACCGGCUAACUACGUGCCAGCAGCCGCGGUAAUACGUAGGGUGCAAGCGUUAAUCGGAAUUACUGGGCGUAAAGCGUGCGCAGGUGGUUUUGUAAGUCAGAUGUGAAAGCCCCGGGCUCAACCUGGGAACUGCGUUUGAAACUACAAGACUAGAGUGUGGCAGAGGGGGGUGGAAUUCCGCGUGUAGCAGUGAAAUGCGUAGAGAUGUGGAGGAACACCGAUGGCGAAGGCAGCCCCCUGGGUUAACACUGACACUCAGGCACGAAAGCAUGGGGAGCAAACAGGAUUAGAUACCCUGGUAGUCCAUGCCCUAAACGAUGUCAACUAGUUGUCGGGCCUUUACGGGCUUGGUAACGUAGCUAACGCGUGAAGUUGACCGCCUGGGGAGUACGAUCGCAAGAUUAAAACUCAAAUGAAUUGACGGGGACCCGCACAAGCGGUGGAUUAUGUGGAUUAAUUCGAUGCAACGCGAAAAACCUUACCUACCCUUGACAUGUAUCGAAGCCCGCAGAAAAGCGGGGGUGCCCGAAAGGGAACGAUAACACAGGUGCUGCAUGGCUGUCGUCAGCUCGUGUCGUGAGAUGUUGGGUUAAGUCUCGCAACGAGCGCAACCCUUGUCAUUAAUUGCCAUCAUUUAGUUGGGCACUUUAAUGAGACUGCCGG